rnacentral:rRNA from 1 species
GAUGAAUGCUGGCGGCGUGCCUAACACAUGCAAGUCGAGCGGCAGCGCGAGUAGUUUACUACUUGGCGGCGAGCGGCGGACGGCUGAGUAACGCGUGGGAACGUGCCCCAAAGUGAGGAAUAACUGCCCGAAAGGGUGGCUAAUGCCGCAUAUGAUCUUCGGAUUAAAGUCUUCGGACGCUUUGGGAGCGGCCCGCGUCGGAUUAGGUUGUUGGUGAGGUAAUGGCUCACCAAGCCGACGAUCCGUAGCUGGUCUGAGAGGAUGAUCAGCCAGACUGGGACUGAGACACGGCCCAGACUCCUACGGGAGGCAGCAGUGAGGAAUCUUCCACAAUGGGCGAAAGCCUGAUGGAGCAACGCCGCGUGAAGGAUGAAGGCCCUCGGGUUGUAAACUUCUUUUAUAAGUGAAGAAUAUGACGGUAACUUAUGAAUAAGCACCGGCUAACUACGUGCCAGCAGCCGCCGUAA